UGCUGCCGAACAUGCUACUAGUCUAUCCUAUCCCGUCAACGAGCAAGCCGCGUCGUCUAUCUCGCUCUCCGCCCUCUUCCCCGUUUCAUCCGCACUUGAGCAGCUCUUCGAUCCAUCUCCAGUCAUAUAGAUGGGACAUCCAAGCUAGUCACUCGUAUAAGGAUAUAGAUAAAGAGUACCAUGGAGAACAUGGGGUUACAACAUGUGCGGGUGUUUCCUCUCACGGUGUUAAGAGAUAUUACAAGUAAUUUUUCCGAGGAGCGUGUAAUUGGACAUGGUGCAUCUGGAGUAGUUUAUAAGGGAGUACUUGAUAAUGGGGAAGUGAUUGCUGUGAAGAAACUUAACAACCCAUAUCAUUCAUCCGGGGAGAAACUUGGUAAUGGAGAAGCCCAAUUUCAUAAUGAGCUUAUGAAUCUUAUUGGGGUGCAACAUCAAAAUAUUAUACGGUUAGUUGGCUACUGCUAUGAAAUUCAGAAUAUAGUUACUGAGUAUGACGGAAAACGUGUACUCGCUUCGGUGGAAGAAAGAGUUCUCUGCUUAGAAUACAUGCCGUGUGGAAGCCUCAAGGAUCACAUUUCUGAUGAAUCAUGCGGACUUCAAUGGCAUGAACGUUACACCAUAAUUAAAGGAAUUUGUGAAGGUUUAAAGUACCUUCAUACUGGAUCUGGAAAUCCAAUUUACCAUCUGGACUUGAAACCCGAAAAUAUAUUGCUCGACAUGAACAAGAUACCAAAAAUUGGAGAUUUUGGUAUAUCAAGACUCCCUGCAGGUUCAAUGCAAACCUUUGUCACACAAAAAAUUUCAGGAACACUUGGAUACAUGCCACCAGAAUACCUCUUUAAGAAGCAAAUCUCACCGAAGUUUGACAUAUUCAGCUUGGGUGUUAUAAUGAUACACUUAAUAGCUGGGCAAGAGGGAAACCAGGAUUGUCCAUAUAUGCCUUCUGAGAAAUUCAUUGAGCGUGUACAUAGAAACUGGAAAAAACGGCUGCAGGCAACAGAAUCAUCACAUAUAUUAGAGCAAGUUAGGACAUGCACCGAAAUAGCGUUAAGGUGUGUGGAGUUCCAGCGAGAGAAAAGGCCUAAUAUAACUGAGAUUGUUGAUGAACUGAAUAAGAUUGAUGUUGACAAAUGUUCGGAUAAGAACAUGGAAGAAGAGGAGCACACAACUCUGGAAAAUAAACCUGAGAUCGAAAUGGAAAAGAAAGAGAGGUCAGAACAUUCGGAGGAAAAGAUGAACGGGCUAGUCGAUAGCAGAUACGCGAGAGCCAUGAGCUCCCUGUCCGAGUUCCCCAAGCUGCUGCUUCAGUUCCUCGGCAAUGAUUACAACAUCCAUGCAGAUGGCAAGGAAGACCUACAGUACCUCUACAUGGAGCUAGAGUUCGUCCAAGCUGCCCUCCUGGAUGUGGCUGACAUGCCACAGGCUCAGGUGCAUGAUGUGUUUAAGCUCUGGGCCGAAACACUAAGGAGCGUCACAUAUGAGAUGGAAGAUAUUUUUGAUUCCAUGGUGUUGCGCUUCCAUGGGUUCGGGCAAGGCUUGGAUCUUCAUGAGAUCGGGCAAAGGAUCAACAAUGUCAUUGCAAAGGUCCAAGAAAUGAACGACAUAAGUCCUAGCUACAAUCUCAAAAAUUUUGCUGACCGAAUUGCCACAUCUACCGCUGACCCUCGCUUAUCGGCUCUAAACAAAGAUCUGAAAGAGAUGGUUGGCAUUGAAGUUUCAACGGACGAGGUAAUAAGGAAGCUGGCACAUGCCAUCAAUGGUGUUUCGGAGCAGCUAAAUAUAGUCUCCAUUGUUGGAAUGGCAGGAAUGGGCAAGACAACUCUUGCCAGGGCAGUGUACCAAAGGGUUCAAGAGCAAUUUGAUUGCACUGCUUUUGUUUCUGUAUCACUGCAUCCCAACAUUAAGAAAGUUCUCAUGGAAAUUCUUUAUCAAAUUGACAAGGAAAAAUAUAAUGACGCCAAUACAGCACAAUUUGAAGGAAGGCUGCCCAUAGAAGAACUCCGGGUACUACUUGCGAACAAGAGGUACUUCAUCGUUAUAGAUGAUAUAUGGGAUGUACAAUCAUGGGAAAUAAUCAAAUCUGUUCUAAUAGACAUGAGAAAUGGAAGUAAUGUAGUCACAACAACUCGGCUUUUUGAAGUUGCUGAAAAGGCAGGUGACGUUUACAAGCUAAAAGCAAUUUCUCAUCGGCACUCCAAAGAACUAUUCAAUACAAGAUUAUUUGGUGCAAAAGGAAAAGGCCCUGAGAUCCCUGAAGAACUUUUACAGAAAUGUGGUGGUGUGCCAUUAGCAAUAAUUACAAUGGCUAGUUUGUUGGCUAAUAAACCAAGAGAUGAUUGGUCGAAGGUGUACAACCAAAUUGGUUUUGGCUAUGGAGGCAAUGAAGAUGUGGGCCACAUGAGAAAGACAAUACUUCUUAGCUACUACAAUCUGCCUUCUCAUCUCAAGCCUUGCUUAUUGCAUCUUAACAAUUUUCCAGCAGAUUAUUCAAUCAGGAAAGAAACCUUGAUUUGGAUGUGGGUUGCCGAAGGUUUUGUGCAUGGAAAACUAGGAAUAGGGUUAUUUAAGCUCGGAGAGGGAUAUUUCAAUGAGCUCAUCAAUAGAAGCUUGAUCAUACCGGUCGAGGACUCGUCGCGUUGCAUCAUAAAUGGUUGCCGUCUCCAUGAUUUGGUGCUUGAUAUGACCAAUUCCUUGUCAGCUGAACUCAACUUUCUCACCGUACUAAAUGGCAGAAAGCAACACAACCCCGUGCAGGGCACUGUUCGCAGGCUAGCUGUCCUAAAGACAUCCACAGAGCAAGAUGACCCUCUUAUUAACAAGCACACAACCAAAGUAAGGUCAUUUAAUACCACCAAGUGUCACUUCGAUAUGAUGCUACCCAUUUCAAGGUUUAUAUUUCUUCGUGUCCUUUCUAUUGAAGAAUGUACUUUUAUGGAAGGUCGUACUUGUGGUCUUAAGCAUCUUGAGAAGUUACAUCAGUUGAGGUAUCUGGGACUGUAUAACACACCUCUACAUCAGCUUCCCGAAAAAUUAGGUUCUCUAUGUUUCUUGCAGACACUGGACUUGAGAGGAACCAGUUUAAGAGAAUUGCCAUUCAGCAUCAAUCUUCUAAGACAACUCAAGUGCCUGCGAGCUGAUGAGAUCACAAGAGUGCCAGAUUGGAUAGGGAACCUGACAUCCCUAGAAGAACUAAGGCUGGACAACGUUGGCACAUCCGUAAACUUCGUGAUAGAGCUGGGAAAGCUGAAAGAGCUCAGGGAGCUCGACAUUUGGAUACAAGAGCUCGACGAGAUCUCGAAUGAAGCAUUGGUGAAGUCCCUCGGUGGUCUAGUUAACAUGGAAGUCCUACGAGUGAUGAGUAGUUGGCAGGGUGAGGAGGCCAGCUGGGACAACUAUGUGCCGCCAAUACAACUCCGUGAGUUCUACCUAACUAUCGCUUUCCCUGGACUGCCAAAGUGGAUUAAUGCCUCCUCUGUUCCGAAUCUCUCACACCUGUCUAUGGAUGUGAAGGCUAUGAAUGAGCAGGAUAUGGAUAUCAUUGGGUAUUUACCAGAGCUCAUUGGUCUCGAGCUGCUGCUCCCGCCGGAUGUCUUCCUUAGCAUCAAGGGCGACGGUUUGUUCCCCAAGUUGAGGUGCUUUGACACGUCCGCACCAUUCAGAUUCCUACCAGGAGCUAUGCCGGCCCUGGAACUCCUUCACUUCAAAGUCGACGUCCGUGCUUUGAAGCGUGUCGGCUUCGCCUUGGAUGACUUCGCUACCUUGAAGAAUCUACUUCGGCUUCGGAGUGUGGAAGUUGAAAUUGACUCUAGGGGUGCCCGUCCAGUGCACGCGACAGGGGUUGAGGAAGCCGUGAAGCGGACAGUAGACAAUCAUCCCAACAAUCCGACCGCUAGUAUCAGGAGAACCUGAUACAUAGUAAACUGGCUCCUGUGAUGGACCCAAUUCAGAGCAGACAUAAGAAGAGGCCCCUAACCUUGAACCAUCUCCUAUAUAUGGAUCUGUCACUUGAUUUGUAUGAGUGUUGGCUACCUAGCGGCUGUCGAUUUCUUGUUUCGGGACUAUCCUAAAAGUUAGAUGGAUUGAGUUACUGUGUGUCAGCUAUAUGACCCCGUUUGGGAGCUAUGUAUAUAUUCUUCCUAAAAUCUAAAAAGUGCACGCGCACUAUUCUGUCAAACUGAGCGGCCGCGCCUCGACCGCUUGUUCCGUGCGAAUCGUGCAGCCCAGGAGAGUCAGGUGUUUUUUUUGUCGGGUUCGUCUCUGUCCCUCUAGUUCUCUUUGCAUUCCCACACAAGCCGCUGCCCUCCCUAGAUCUCAUCCUCCACACGAAUCCUUCUCUGCCGCCAUCUAGCAGCAGCAGCCACAUCGGCGGCGAGGACAGCUCCGCCCCGGCGCGGUUUCAAGCUGCAGGUGAACCCGGACGGAUCCGAGGAGCUCCAUGUCGGAUCCGGCCGUCCCACGUCUUCGUGUGGGCUCCGCUGCCUGGACGCUUUCACGAUGCCGCCGAGCCCUGCGCCGACGCCCCUCGCAAUCCUCAAAUCCGACGCCAUCAAGAGCUCGUUGCCACCUAUGGAGGAGGGUGAAGGGAGCAGCAGUCGCCAUGAGGCCUUGGUGUGGCUGCAGCGGCUGGGAGAGGAGGAAACACGGGUUUGGAUCUAGCCGGAGCAGCCGGUGGAGAAGGAAGCACGGACGCAAAGGGGGAAGGGAGCUCGUCCUCGAUCUGGAGAACAGCGGCUAGGAAAUGGAGUUCUUUUUGUGUGGCCGCUGCUUGUGUAGCUUGUUUUGUGGAGAAUUUAGCGAGACGAGGACGUGUUGGAGUUUGCCGACUGAUUUCUUUUUGCUUCGCAGUGCUACUGCUUAUCGUGCAUGUAGCAUAGCAUGUGCUGUUGUUACUCCAAGAGUAUUUGCUUUUUUUUACUUAAAAUGGUGCUUGUGGAGAUCCACGUUGCUGA